GACAACUUGGAUCUCAAAGGAAUUUGUCUCGAACACUGAAACUUCAGAAUCCCAAGAAAGAUGUGGGAGAGAUUUUCCGAGAAAACCCCUCCACGUUCCGAAGACAGAGACCUGUCACACAGGGCCAAGGAAAAAUCAUGGAGCUGGGAGAGGGAGGCCUGGAAAUGCAACGAUAUCCUUUUGGCUCCCCUGCACCUGAUGCUUGCUACAGGCCGAGUCCCUCUAGCUCUGUGCUUAGACGCUCCAGAGUGGAACUCUCACCCACCAGGAGGUUGCCUCGAAAGAUAACAGUCCAUCGACCACCCAAAGGAUAUCGGCAACGAAACUCUCUCCCACCUGGAGAGUUCUCAGCCGCUUUUACAACCUAGUCCUGCCCACGAAGGUGCCCGCAGUCACCAGUUUUCCCACCGCCUGGUAGAUAAAGUACCAAGCUAGCACACAGGACCCACCCCCCGCACUGCCCGCGUCCUCCCUGUGUGCCAGUCAUGUUAGGGCCCCUUUACAAAGCACCUGCUUUUUUUCUCCAAAAGUAAAGCGAUACCCUUAAGGCAGGAAGCCUGUUCUUCUUCCCCUAAGCUAGCUUGGGAAUAAAAAGUCACUUUCUUUAUAU